rnacentral:lncRNA from 10 species
ACUCCCUCCACUGCGCCCCGCUCACACUCCCGCACCCUCCCCACACUGCGCCCUGCCCACACUCCUGCACUCUCUCCCCACUACGCCCCCUACCACAUCCCGCGCCCCCGCCCCCAUCCCCACUGCGCCCCGCCCACACUCCCGCGCCCUCGCGCCCCUGGGCUCUCCCGUCGUGGGCACUCUCCCCAGCGCUUCUACACUUUCUCCCGACGCAGCGCCCUGCCCUCCGUCCCGCCCCACCUAUUGCCUCCUGCGCUUCCCCCACACCGUGCUCUUCCUCCUCCUUCACUUCCUCCCACUCCUCGCGCUCCCCUUCAGCGCCCCACGCAGCCCCUCCCCCAAAACCCCGCGUCGCUCUCCUUCCCUCCUGGCCUCUCUUCCAGUCUCGCGCUCCCUGCCGGGCCCCGCCGCAGGUGUCCCGCAGCCGUCUCCCCAGGGCAUUUGAAUCUUGCCUUGGAGCUCUUGCCGCGCGGCCCAGCACCCUGGAAGAGGCAUCAGGGAGGAUGGGACGACGAGGAAGGGGAAGGUUAAUUUCAUAGAGCCAGCUAUGGAACUGGGGAGGACAGAGAGAAGGUCUUUGCUCUCCUAAGACAAGAUGGAUCCCCCACUGACUUUGGACUCCCGUCACGUUCACCGACCCCUGAGUCCUGCUCCUGUGCCUGCCUGGAGCUUAUGUUCUAACGGGCACAAACAAUAAAUAAGGAAGAUAUUUUGCAGGUGCUAUGCCAAAAGAAGAGCCAUGAGGAGGGGCGCAGGUUUUUGUUUUGUUUUAUUUUGGUUUGGUUUGGUUGGUUGGUUGAGAUGGAGUCUCGCUCUUGUUGCCCAGGCUGGAGUGCAAUGGCGUGAUCUCGGCUCACUGCAACCUCCGCCUCCCGGGUUCAAGCAAUUCUCCCGCCUCAGCCUCCUGAGUAGCUGGGAUUACUGGCGCGUGCCACCACGCCCAGCUAAUUUUUGUAUUUUUAGUAGAGACGGGGUUUCAUCAUGUUAGCCAGGCUGGUCUCAAACUCCUGACUUCAGGUGAUCUACCCACCUCUGCCUCCCAAAGUGCUGGAAUUACAGGCUUGAGCCACCGAGGGGCGCAGUUUUAAUCUAGCGGUGAGAGGAGUCAGGGAAGGUGAAAUUUGCGCUUCCUGAGGACCCGCCUGCCGGCCCGGGCUCCCCCAGUCUCGCCGUUAAAUGAACGGAAAUUGGCGGACGCCGUUGCCUGCAGGCACAGCCCGUCGGCUCGGUUGCGUAAAUGUACUUAGCAGCCAAAGCUCAGUGGAAACCCUGCGGGAGGAUUGAUUGGCGCUCUUAGGUGAAGCAGGCUGUCAAGAGCCCCGAUUCACUGUCCUCUGGGGAAAAUGGAUAGACAAAUCGGAGGAAAAAAUUGAGAGGAACUGUGAGCAGUAUAAAUCUUGCAUGAGGAGGCCCCUGACUUACGUUAAAACUCAGAGGUAAGAGGAAUGAAAUGCAGCUAAGCUCUCAAAAUCAUCCAGACUAUUUUGUUUUGUCAUCUUAUCCUUGAACACACAAUGAGCCAAAGUAGACAGCAUUCCUAAUUAGUUGACGGUGCCACCCUCCCGAGAAAAUUAACGGUCAUUCGCAUUAAUACUGCCUGCCCUGGGGAACUCACCCAACCUCCAUCCAGGAAUGGAUCGCACUUCCUGCUGCCGAUGUCGGGGGCAGGGCGGCUUCCUAGGCAUGCAGACCCUCAGAGGCACAGGGCCCUGCACUCACUUGGGGCUCAGUGUUCUGCGGUUGCAGUCUUUGUUGUUUUGUUUUUUGUUUAGAAACUGAAUCUCACUCUCUUACCCAGGCUGGAGUGCAGUAGUGGGAUCAUAGCUCACUGCAGCUUCCAACUCCUGGGCUCCAGGGAUCCUCCCGCCUCAGCCUCCUGAGUAGCUAGGACUAUAGCCACAUGCCACUAUGCAAGGCUAAUUGUUUUUAUUAUUAUUAUUAUUAUUUUUUAGAGAUGGGGUCUCCCUCUGUUGCCCAGCCUGGUGAUUUUUUUUUUUUUUUUGGAUGGAGUCUCGCUCUGUGGCCCAGGCUGGAGUGCAAUGGCGUGAUCUCAGCUCACUGCAACCUCCACCUCCCAGGUUCAAGUGAUUCUUCUGCCUCAGCCUCCCGUGUAGCUGGGACUACAGGUGCACGCCACCACGCCUGGCUAAUUUUUUUAUUUUUAGUAGAGACGGGGUUUCACCAUAUUGACCAAGCUGGUCCCUAACUCCUGACCUCGUGAUCCGCCCGCCUCAGCCUCCCAAAGUGCUGGGAUUACAGGCGUGAGCCACCGCACCCAGCCAAAAUUCUUAAUUUAUCUUUGAAUUUGUGUGGUAUAUGAGAGGUCUUGGACAGUGGCACAUAUGUGAGUGUUUGGACCCUAGCUCAUGUGUGCUCCCACCUGCCACUGCCUCCCUACCUCCCCAAGACAGGUUCUUCUUCUUAUUAUUAUUAUUUUGAGACUGAGUCCCACUCUGUCACCCAGGCUAGAGUGCAGUGCUGUGAUCUCAGCUCACUGCAACCUCCGCUUCCUGGCUUCAAGCAAUUCUCCCUGCCUCAGCGUCCCGAGUAGGUGGGAUUACAGACACCUGCCACCACGCCCAACUAAUUUUUGUAUUUUUAGUAGACACGGUUUCACCAUGUUGGCCAGGCUGGACUUGAACUCCUGACCUCAGGUAAUCCGCCUGCCUUGGCCUCUCAAAGUGCUGGGAUUACAAGAGUGAGCCACUGUGCCCAGCCCAAGAUAGGUUCUUGACUGCUCAAUCCUCUCCUCCUUUUGGUGUCCUGGGCCACACCUGGACUCCCCAUCUCCACCUCCACCCAGGAACCGCUAGUGUCCUCUGUGGUCACUGGGGGCCCAGGUGGUGGGGGGAAGACUGACGUCCGAUGCCUUUGCCCCACAAGGUCUCAGGGUAGGUACGGCAUAGGAAUAGCUGGUGGCCUGCAGGGCCCCCAGACAAGGGUGAAAGUUGACAUUCACCCUGUGCCCAAGAAAGUAUGACAUUCAAUGGCAAAUAAAAGACCAUGCUAGAAAGAGAAAAGCUUUUGCAUAUUAGUGCCUUUGCUGGCACUUUCCUUUCCUGCUUGUUGAACAAGGGGCACUGCAUUUCCAUUGCUGGGGAGAGCAGCCCACUCAGUGUUAAUGGAAAAACCAAACUCUGUAAACUAUUUGAAAGAGGUUUAUUCUGAGCUAGUAUGAGUGACAACAGCCCAGGGAAAGACAUAAACUGAAAAAGCCUUGAGUCAGUGGUCUCAGGGCAGUUAGAUCGCAACUCUGUUUUACACAUUUCAGGGAAGCAGAAGUUAUGAAAAAGUCAUAAAUCAAUACAUGAAGAUUAGACAUUGAUUUGGCCCAGAAAGGCAGAAUAUGUUAAAGUGGGGGCUUCCUGGUCAUAGGUCACUCCAGAGUCUUCAAUUUGCAAUUGGUUAAAAGAGUAAAACUUUGUCUAAAAAUUUUGAAUCAGCAGAAAGGAAUGUUUUCAGUUAAGGAAGUCUGUUAACCAAACCACUGGGUCAGAGUGACCCAUGGGGUGUGUGACUUAAUCCUUGCCUGACAUGGACUUAGGUCCUAUUUAUCAUUUGCUACCUUAUUGUCACAAAGAGUCUGUUUUGUUAGUCUUAUGAUCUGUAUUUUAACAUUUAUGCUGGUCAGUUCUGCCUAAACUCCAAAAGGGAGGGCAUGUAACAAGGCAUGAGUCCAACCUCCCUUCCCAUUGUGGCCAGGAAUUUCGUUUUUAACUUUUUUCUGGGAUCCUCUUGGCCAACAGGGGGUCUGUUCAAUGAGUAGAGGGUUAGGAUUUUAUAUUUAGUUUACAUCAGGGACCUGGGUGAAGCGAGUAAGCCCUCCAGGGAGGUGUGAUCAUGGGGGAACAGAGUCAGCCACCCCCAUCCCAGAUUCUCCUUGGACUGCCUGCUCUGAGCGGCUGUGUGUAGACAGCAAGGAAGAGGGGUCUUCGUCAGAUGCGUGCACCAGAGACUCCAGAACAGCUCAGCCUGGCUCACUCAGUAAAGGGCAUUCUCAAGGGUCAUUGCUGACUCUUCCGGGGCAGCCAGUCUUCAAAUGGACUUUCCCAAACCCCUUCCUAUUGCAGAAAGCUUGUGUCAUUUGCCUCCAAAUGCUGUCCCCCUGACCUCUCCCUGGGGAGGGAGUGGGCUGCAGGUGCCACAGGAUGCAGCAUGAAGCCCUGCAUUCUCCCACCGCUGCUGGAGCCAAGUUCUCCUUCAUGUUUCUCUCUGCACAACACACACAGGAACACUCACAAAUGCAGUCCUGGAAACAGGAUUAGGUGGCCCCUACUUUCCUAGCUGGGAUAUGCAAAGCCACUUUCAUACCAAACUUCCUUCCAGGGCAUCUAAAGGUGACAUGAGUGUGGGCAUCUGUAAGCAGCUUUACUUGCCUUGGACAACCACAGGGAAACUGGGCAGUGAGUCCCACUCCAGAUGCUGGCCGGAGAGACCCCAGUGAAGGCACCCUCAGGCCUGCCCUCCCUCCCUGAGCCCCUCUCCCCUCCCCGCUGCCCCUGAUUUAAGGGUAGUCCUUUCUGCAUUUCCUCCCGAGAGCACGAUAAUAACUCACUGCUUGACCAACUUCAGACAGACUCCUCCGGCACUUUUUUCAGCUAGGCCUCAUCCUUGGACCCCGUGCUCAGCCUGCCUGAGCCAGUCUUAGCAAAGAAUCCUGUUAAGUCCUCUUCUGCCUUUAGUAUCCAAUCAUCCUGGCCUGCCUGCAGCAGGUGUCCUGUUAAGUUAGUUUAGCAAGAUACCCCCCUACCGUCAAGGUCCCCUCUGUUUUCCAUCUGCCAACCCCCCACCUCCACCCUGUUCCUGGGCUGUAAAUCCCCACUUGUCCUUGUGUUGGGAAUUGUGCUCGGCGCUUUCCUUUUGCAGUAGUGCUCAACAGAGUCUGUCUUUUUGCCUUGGAUAGUGUUCAGUUCUAUUUCUCAUUAACAGUUAUGAAGGGCUGUGACACCUUGCUUGGCUUCUAGUCUUGACAUAGACUAAAAGGCAGAAGGUUUCCAGAGCUCACGCUGGAUGGCUGGGCAGAUGAGGUCUUCAGAGACUCUCCAGGGAGUGGCCAGGAUACCCUAUCCAGAGGAAGCAGGACCGUCUCAGCUGACCAGGGCCCUUGCCUGCUAAUAGCAUCAUGCAUACCUUGUUUCUUCAUGAGGCUGCUUGCCCGAGUUCCAAUCCACCAGGAAUUCAUCUUGUAUCAUAGCUGAUGGAUCCCGUGUCUCGUUUCUAAGUUGGAGCAUCACUUUGCAGCUCCCAACCAGGGCCAGCCACAAAAUUUGAAAGGCCCAGUGCAAAAUAAAAAUGCAGAGCCCCUUGUUCAAAAAGCAGGAAAAGAAUGGGCCAGCAAAGGAACUAAAAUAAACGAAAGCUUUUCCCUUUCUUCCAUGGUCUCUCUUUUGACCUAUCAUGGUGUUUUUAUUUGCUACUGAAUAUCAUGCUUUCUUGGGACAGGGUGAGUGUCAACUGUCACACUUGCCCAGGGGCCCUGCCGAGUGACUUGGUGGGUACACAGUCCACCAGCUGCUUGCAUGGCCACGCCCACCCUGAGAUGCCACGGGUAGUGUAGUAAAAGCAUCUGAUGUCAACCCCACACCCCUCCACACAUACACACUCAGGUUCCCGCAGACCAUGGAGGGCACCAGCGGUUGCUGGGUGAGGGUGGGGAUGGGGAGGCCAUGUGGGGCCCAGGACACCAAAGGGAGGGAGACGAGCAGUCAAUAAUGUGCCUGGGAGAGGUGGCGGACCAGCAGCAGAUGGGAGCACACAUGAGGCAGGCUCCAAGUGCUCACGUAUGCUCCACUGUCCAAUGAGGCCUCACUUACACCACACAAAUUCAAAGAUAAAAUAAAGUUUUUUUUGUUUUGUUUUGUUUUGUUUUGUUUUGGAGACAAGAGUCUCACUCUGUCACCCAGGCUAGAGUGCAGUGGCGCAAUCUUGGCUCACUGCAACUUCCACCUUCCAGGUUCAAGUGAUUCUCCUGCCUCAGCCUCCCAAACAGCUGGGGCUACAGGUGUCCACCACCACACCUGGCUAAUUUUUUGUAUUUUUAGUAGAGAUGGGGUUUCUCCAUGCUGGCCAGGCUGGUCUCAAACUCCUGACCUCAAGUGAUCCGCCC